GUGCGUACAAGAGAAGCCAGGAGCAAGCUCCCAUGGAGCUUCACCCUAAAAUUCAACAAAACCCUCAAAUUGGAGGAUCAAACAAUGGCCAAACUCGGAUCUGAACGCAUAGAAACGGUCACCAAGUCAGGGGGAUCGUAAGUUUGACUCUUGACAAGCUAGAAGGAGACUUGGGCAAGGAACGGGUCAAACGGUUCGUGUAUGGGAAAAAGAGCAUAAUCGGAUGCAAGGUACUUUUGGAUGCCGGAAGACGAUCAAGCUCAGUGAAGAACCGAACACGAUAAAGACACACACUUCCGCACUUUGACACAUAGUAAAUUUUAAACAACGAAUUUAAUCAUGUUAUGUAGAAUAACUUAUGAAUUGUAAAAGUUUUUAAUAAACUAGUAUU